CGAUUCGUGGCGCAAUAAAUGCGAAACCAAAUAGUCCCUGCGACCAAAUAGUGGCCGAAACCAAAUAAGCCCCAGCUAAACGGUUUUGGGAACCAAAUAAGAGCGAUAUAAUUGCCCGCGACCAAAUAGUCCCCGUACGUACACAGCGUCUAAUAGAAAAGGGGUUUCUGAAACAUUCCUGGCUAAGCCACUGCACUAACUACCGUAUACAUGCAUGCUACUAAACACAGGCAGAUUACCGUUCUUUAUUCUCUUUGGGAAAUCUUUCUAACUAGAAAGCGUUUGCUUUCUUUGAAACUUCGACGCCAUGGAAGCGACAACUUGGUGCGCUUGAAUAUCGUUACGUCUGUUUCAAACAGCGACCAUUGAAAUAACUUUCGUGGGUGCAUGACCUUGUACAAAGCGUGACAUAUUUCGAUAUUUGGGGGCCGAGCUUCUAGAGCAUGCGCAAUCUCGAGGGUAACACGCACCUUUCGCCGAUCUCGCUGUACGAAGUUCUCGUUUCCGGAUCUACUUCUAAACUGUAGAUCAUCUUGCCAUUGACUAGGCUUUGUAAGUAUGUUUACUACUUACCAUUUAGUGCAUUUUGAGAGACUUUGCCUGCGUAGAGACGCGUAGGAAGCCAUUUCUUGAGUACGGCUUCUCAAGGGUAAGAGGCUGCUGUUCAAGCUGAAGUCGCCUGAUUCACACUCUGAACAGAUACACGUGGAGUGGAAAGACAGACUGAAGAUUUUGCGCUUUCUUGAACUGUGGAACUGUGAAACUGUGUAUCUUGUCGAACUAGAGUCAGCAAAAAUUCGUCUAGCCUAACCAACCCUUCAUAGUAAUUGUCUUGGCUGUUGGUUCAAUCCAACUCUACACUGUAUCAAGCACAUUUCUCGACACAAAAUCUGUAUAACUUGAUCUAUCAUUUGGAAGUGUGUCGAUCGAGAAUGCCUUGCCUUUCCUUGCAACACUCAGACUUUGCAGAUACAAGAUCUUGCUCGAGAACUCUAAUGUUGUUUUGAAGUUUCACUAUUUCAUUUGCUUGCUGUUCAAUUAUCCGACAUAAACCAUCAGGUUCAGCCUCAGUGACAUUUUCGACAAUCAACAUCUUCACUUCUAGGAUCGCUAGACUAGCUAGACACGUCUUGAUCAACUGCGCCUGCGGAUGAGGUAGAACAGCCUCUGCUUUCUGAUUUAGACACUACAGCUUUGGAAUAGCUAGUGCGUGUGUGUUGUGUUACUUUAGACAUAACUGUUGCUGUGACUUGUAGACUGGCAGUGCUAAUUGUAAU